UCCGUAUAUUUAUCGAUAGGUCGGUUUUGUUUUGAUUUUACAUUUUAAGGAAAAUUAAGGAAAAAUUAGCAAAUAAAGCGACGGACGGCAGAGAUAUGCGCCUGAGCAGACAUAUAUCGCAGCUUUGGCAGAACCGUGUCCCAACCGACAGGCACGUGAACACAUACUUCUUCUUUGCGGUCGUGCGUCUGGCCCUGGUUUUCGUGCCGCAGCCGGGCUAUGUGCAUCCCGACGAGUUCUUCCAGAGCGUGGAAGUGAUGACGGGCGACCACUUCCGGCUGGAGCACACACGCACCUGGGAGUUCAAUAAUUCGAUGCCGCUGCGGAGCAUCACCCUUCCGUUUGCGCUGCUGCGCGUUCCCUGGAGCUUCUACGAGUUCUUCGCCGUGUACAUGCGCAACUUGUGGAAUGUAGAGCUGAUCAGCACCUACGCGUAUGUGGUGUUUCCGCGGCUUAUCUACACCUUGAUCUCGUACAGCAAUGACUGGUGUCUUUAUCGCGUUUGCCGGAUGUACGGACUGCGCUUUGAGAUCCGACUGCUAGCCUUGGGCAGCUCCUGGGUGCUGCUGGUCUUCGGCACGCGAACCUUCUCCAACAGCCUCGAGAUGGCCAUGUGCUCGUGGCUGCUCUGCUUGGUGUCCGAGUGCAUGCUGAGGACUAACACGGUGGUAUACAAGAAGGAGUUCCUGGAGGAGAAGUACGACAAGGCGGAGUCCAUCAGCGAGCGCGUCAAGAUCUGGAAGCUGAAGAAUGCCCUGCCGCCGCACAACUUCCAGCAUAUGUUUACCGUGUCCAGUAUCUGUGUGGCUGGCGUCUUCAAUCGGCCUACCUUCCUGCUCUUUGGCGCACCCAUGGUAUUCUUUUGGCUGCUGCGCGGGAUGGGCACACGCAGCGUAACCUUUAGGGACUUUAACCUACGCAUCGGACUCUUCUGCUUGUACGCCCUGCCAGCGCUGUUCCUGUUCAUAUUCUGCGACUCGCUGUACUAUCAGCAUCUCACAGUGGGAGAGCUGCACAUGAUGCAGCUGGGCAUUGACAACUUUGUGUUUACGCCAUGGAACUUUGUCAAGUACAACCUGAACUCCGCCCAGACGGCCAGCCAUGGUGUGCAUCCCUGCUAUGUCCACCUAAUGGUCAACAUGCCGCUGCUCUUCAAUGUUCUCGCCCUGGCAGGCCUCGGGGCAUUUGCUCAGAUCCUUCUGCGCUUCUUUCGGGCCGAAUACCAAGUGCUUCCGCGCUUCCAAAGCAUUGUGUCGCUCAUGUCUGGUGCCAUAUUUGUGCCACUAUUUUUCCUGUCGCUCAUCAACCAUCAGGAGCCUCGCUUCCUUAUCCCAAUAACCUUUCCUUUGCUUCUGCUGCAUGGUCCCAAGCUGGUGACUGGUUUCAGUGCCAAGUAUCCUUUCCAGAAGGAGCACCCCCUGCUGCGCAGGUUCUACGACCGCCUGCUCUCCAGCAAAGCAUCGGCCCCUCAUCUGCUGAGGAUUUGGUAUGUGAGCAACGUAGUGUUGACUGUCUUCUUUGGCUUCAUUCAUCAGGCGGGUAUUUAUCCGCUGUCCGAGACCAUGGCCCAUGUGAUGGCCACCAAGCCAGAGGCCACCCACGUUCACCUAAUGACCUCGCACGUUUACAGUCUGCCCCUGCACCUGGUGAAUAUUCCCAGCUCCCGAGUGCUCCAAUUCAAUCCGCACACCCAUAACCGCUAUCGGCGCCAGAGGGACUUCUACUUGUACGAGUACGGGAGCCAGCCCUUGGACAACCUUUUGCACAAGGUCAAACUGAUCAGCGGCAAUUGCGAGGUCAAGUUGACCGGACCGACUCGGCUGCGCUAUAAGCUCUACCUGUCCAUUCCCGCCUCCUUGAGUAGCGAUCUCUACGAGGCCUUGGUUCGCUCCAAUGCCAGCAGUUAUCUAAACUUUGAGCUGCUUCACGUUUUCUAUCCACAUCUAUCCACUGAGGCUUUUCCCAGAAUACUGGGCCGCCAUCCCUGCGAUGUGGAUGCUCCGCACUGGGCUCACGACGACCUACGGGGCACCUGUGCCGUGGAGCAAUCGCCAGCUUUCAGCUACUCCUACCUGACGAAGCAGUUCAGCUCUUUCGUGCAUCAGUUUGGACUGGCGCUCUACGAGAUCGAUGUGCGACGAAAGCGGCAGAGGCAAGUUGUGCGCACCCUUGACCUGGUGACGGCACCAGCUGCCCCCUUGCCGGAAGCUGGGGCGUAAGAGUACAUGCCAUUGAUUGCUCUGCAAAGUCCAAGAAGUGCCUUAUGAUAGUGUUGUUGGCUUGGAAAUACUUCAAUUAAUAGCUGAUAAGAUCGAGCGAGACACAUUCCAUUAUUAAACUGUACAAAAACGCGUUUCUCAUAACUUCACGACAGCGUGAACAGAGUUCUAGUCCAAUAAUCCAUUAUCUCUGCUAAUAUUAUGACAUUUUGCACAAAUCGUUUGCAUUUGUAAUACCAAAGAAUUAAUCUUAAAUUAUUUAAUAAGUGUGAUGCAUACUCGGGUCAAUCGAUGGUCAAUUAUUCAUGACAAUAAUAUUGCAACAUUAGAGUGGAGUGCGUUGGGGCUGCCAGAAAGUGGAAUACACGACGCCAGCUGUCGCUGAAAGAGGGAAAGAGUAAUCCAUUUGACACGGCAUCGACUGCUAAUACCCGGCAAACAUCGGACGCUGGGUUCUGUCACAAAGGUGCGGUGGCAGCGGAAUCCGCGUUCAUUGAACGUUACCAUGCAGAAAUUCAAUGCGGACGCAAUUGUGUUCUAAUUUAGAUUUCGGUUGUUAUUGGGAAUGCCUAAGCCGCAAACCCGUUUGGAAAUGAGACACUCCGGCCAGGCAGGCAGGCCUCCCCCACGCACAAGUGGCCUAUAAAACGAUCGAGCUAAUUGGCAAACAGCAUCAGUCACUGACAAACCAACCAACCCAAACAGUUCAACAUGAA
rnacentral:misc_RNA from 1 species